rnacentral:rRNA from 1 species
CGGGGCGCAGCAGGCGCGAAACCUUUACACUGCACGAACGUGCGAUAAGGGGGCUCCAAGUGCGAGGGCAUACAGUCCUCGCUUUUUCNUACCGUAAGGAGGUAGGCGAAUAAGAGCUGGGCAAGACCGGUGCCAGCCGCCGCGGUAAUACCGGCAGCUCGAGUGAUGGCCACUAUUAUUGGGCCUAAAGCGUCCGUAGCUGGCCGAACAGGUCCGUCGGGAAAUCCGCUCGCUCAACGAGCGGACGUCCGGCGGAAACCAGUCGGCUUGGGACCGGAGGACCCGAGGGGUACGUCCGGGGUAGGAGUGAAAUCCUGUAAUCCUGGACGGACCACCGGUGGCGAAAGCGCCUCGGGAGGACGGAUCCGACAGUGAGGGACGAAAGCUUGGGUCACGAACCGGAUUAGAUACCCGGGUAGUCCAAGCUGUAAACGAUGCUCGCUAGGUGUGGCACUGGCUACGAGCCAGUGCUGUGCCGUAGGGAAGCCGAGAAGCGAGCCGCCUGGGAAGUACGUCCGCAAGGAUGAAACUUAAAGGAAUUGGCGGGGGAGCACUACAACCGGAGGAGCCUGCGGUUUAAUUGGACUCAACGCCGGACAUCUCACCAGCACCGACAGUGUGCGAUGAAGAUCAGUGUGACGAGCUUAUUGGAGUCACUGAGAGGAGGUGCAUGGCCGCCGUCAGCUCGUACCGUGAGGCGUCCUGUUAAGUCAGGCAACGAGCGAGACCCCCGCAUC